CCUUUCUUUUAAUUUUCUUUUCUUUUCUUUUAUAAUUAUUCGUAUAAACAUUCUCCAUUUUUUAUUGUUAGUAUAUACUCAAUUUAUACCGAUAGUUUAUUUUCCUGUUGUUGGAUGUGUUCUGAGGGACAAUUGACUGCCUCAGCAGAAAAUCCCCUCGAACACCAUUUGUGACCUUGCCAUGAGCUUGCUGGCCUGGUUUUCUCUGGGGAGUGCCACGCUGGACCAAACAAAAUUUGGAUGGUCAGAGUGACUGCAUGUACAUGCAUAUUGGCCAUUUCUCUCCUUGCCACAUCACCAUUUAACAAGCCAGUGCCGAGCAGGUUAGACUGUGCCUCUCCAUCUCCUCUCAUGAUCUUGUUGGAAGCCGAGAUAUAUAUUUAAAUCUCGCAAUUGGAGAAUUUUGCUUUGUUUCAUCGCAAUUGGAGAAUUUUGCUUUGUUUCAUCGCAAUUGGAGAAUUUUGCUUUGUUUCAUCGAUACGAAUGUUGGCUCUCUGUUAUAGGACCAGAAUUUGGCAAAGUGCUUGACUGUCCUUCAUCAGCCGUCUGCUAGACUGGCCUAGUCCACUCAGUGCUGCAGGAACACCGCUGUGUCCCAUGGUCCUACUGUGCUACCAGUAAACAAGAGGAGUACAGCCUGGAUGACCAGCCAAUGGAGCUGAGGACCGUGAGGGUUUUCUACCAUCAUCAUCGUCUUCCCGAGCCUUGGAGUUUCAGUGAAGAACUUUGAUAUUAGAUUUUGGCGCCUUUUUAUUUUUUUUCUGAGCUCAGUUUGUUUUAAUCUUUUACUCACAUUACUUAAUUUUGCCUUUGAUUCUUGCUUGUGUUUAUCUUAUUGUUUCGUGUGCAUAUUUGAAGUUUUACCAUUUAUUAUCUUGUGAUCUUUUCUUUGCCUACUAUUAAUUAAUAAAUUAAGUUCUGUGCAUGCAAAAUCUUUAAAUGUAAAUCAGUGUAUUCUUUCAGAGGGGGUCAAUACUCGAAAUUGGUUCCUGCUUGAUGAAGGUGAACCACGGGUUACA